rnacentral:rRNA from 1 species
CCACGGGUGAGUAACGCGUAUCCAACCUGCCGUCUACUCUUGGACAGCCUUCUGAAGGAAGAUUAAUACAAGAUGGCAUCAUGAGUCCGCAUGUUCACAUGAUUAAAGGUAUUCCGGUAGACGAUGGGGAUGCGUUCCAUUAGAUAGUAGGCGGGGUAACGGCCCACCUAGUCUUCGAUGGAUAGGGGUUCUGAGAGGAAGGUCCCCCACAUUGGAACUGAGACACGGUCCAA